CAAAUUUAGACACACUGGGACAAGAUGGAAAAGAGGUACAUAUUUCUGUGAGAAAGGGAACAUAAAUUUCUUUUUCAGGAGAUAAAUUUAUAUGAUGUUAGUCUUUGAUGUUUUCACUGAUGAUCAGCUGACCAAUGGAAGAUUCGUCUUCAGCUGACUAAGCCUGUUACUUGGCCUCCAUUGUUAUGGGGAGUAGUUUGCGGAGCUGCUGCCUCUGAUAUAUGAUAUAGUAAGGUACAGACUGCAUCGUAUGAGGACUAAAUAAAAGAUGAAUUGGAGGACAAGAACACAGAUCAGGAAUAUGUAUGCCCCAACUGCGGGAAAAGGUUUCAACUGUCCUCAUAAUAUAUAUUGUUGCAUAUACGUACAAGUACCAAAUGAAAGGCAAGUUCUAUUAGUGCCCUUUAAUUUGGUGGCUUACCUUUUGACAAUGCCGUAUGUUCAUCUAAUUUAUUUGAUGAAGUCAAAAGAACCUUUUGUUUAUUUUUGUUUAGGGUAAAUAGAUUGAUGAGGCCUUUUUUGA